CUCAUUUAAGGGCUGGCAGUGGAAGCAAGAGGAUCUCACUGGAGAUCCCUACCUACUGGAGGCCUUUUAAAGUGACAAGCUCUUGAGAGAGAAGACAUCUACAACACGUGGUGGACUUAGGGGAAUAAAAAGAUAAAAGAGCUAAGCAGACCUGAAAAACUACAACCAAACAGUGUCAGCAGACAUGGAAGAACUGAAAUAUUCUGAAGAUGGAAUAAGAGGGAUGCACCAGGAUCCUCUUCACCAGACUCCCACACUUGCAAGGAACACUAAGUAGGAGCUACAACACUUCUUACCAAAUUUGGAGUAGAAGUAACACUCAGGCAUCUUGGUCAUGUCAUACUCGUGCAGAAACUCGCACUGGUCUCCCUUUUUGCAUAGUCCUCGUAGCCA